rfam:Xanthomonas campestris pv. campestris str. ATCC 33913, complete genome.
AUGUCCACACGUACACGCCGGUUCCUCCGCGCAUUCCGCGCCCACCUGACGACUGCUCGCUACGUUUUGUUAGCC